rnacentral:rRNA from 1 species
AGUGAACGCUGGCGGUAGGCCUAACACAUGCAAGUCGAACGGCAGCACAGUAAGAGCUUGCUCUUACGGGUGGCGAGUGGCGGACGGGUGAGGAAUACAUCGGAGUCUACUUUUUCGAGGGUGAUAACGUAGGGAAACUUACGCUAAUACCGCAUACGACCUACGGGUGAAAGCAGGGGAUCUUCGGACCUUGCGCGAUUGAAGGAGCCGAUGUCGGAUUAGCUAGUUGGCGGGGUAAAGGCCCACCAAGGCGACGAUCCGUAGCUGGUCUGAGAGGAUGAUCAGCCACACUGGAACUGAGACACGGUCCAGACUCCUACGGGAGGCAGCAGUGGGGAAUAUUGGACAAUGGGCGCAAGCCUGGUCCAGCCAUACCGCGUGUGUGAAGAAGGCCUUCGGGUUGUAAAGCCCUUUUGUUGGGAAAGAAAAGCAGCAGGUUAAUACCCCGCUGUUCUGACGGUACCCAAAGAAUAAGCACCGGCUAACUUCGUG